CCCACCGGGGAUUCAAAAUCAGGAGGCUCAGAAAAAGAGUUUGUUCAACACCUACUACAUAAAAGGUCUGCCUACACAGUUUGAUCCAGGAGAGCCUACUGAACAUUUCUAGGUACUAUGUAAUCCCAAAUUAUAGGGUAGGUAAAAAGUUAGGGGUCAUUCUUUGGUCCUACCCCUAUAGCAAAAUGCAGGCAAAUGUUCGAGAGAAGGUGCAACAU